rnacentral:rRNA from 1 species
GACGAACGCUGGCGGCGUGCCUAAUACAUGCAAGUAGGACGCAGUUGCGAACGGGUGAGUAACGCGUAGGUAACUACCUAUUAGAGGGGGAUAACUAUUGGAAACGAUAGCUAAUACCGCAUACUAGUAGAUGGACCUGCGUUGUAUUAGCUAGUAUGUAGGGUAAUGGCCUACCUAGGCAACGAUACAUAGCCGACCUGGGAAGGUGGUCGGCCAAACUGGGACUGGAGCAAGGCCCAGAAGCCUACGGGAGGCAGCAGUAGGGGAACUUCGGCAAUGGGGGGAAACCUGACCGAGCAACGCCGCGUGAGUGAAGAAGGUUUUCGGGUCGUAAAACUCUGGUGUUAAGGAAGCGGUACUUAACCAGAAAGGGACGGCUAACUACGUGCCAGCAGCCGCGGUAAUAC